UACGGAGGGUGCAAGCGUUAAUCGGAAUUACUGGGCGUAGAGCGCACGUAGGUGGUUUGCUAAGUCAGCUGUGAAAACCCGGGGCUCAACCCCGGGCCUGCAUUCGAUACGGGCAGACUAGAGUUCGGUAGGGGAGUCUGGAAUUCCUGGUGUAGCGGUGAAAUGCGCAGAUAUCAGGAGGAACACCGGUGGCGAAGGCGGACUCUGGGCCGAUACUGACGCUGAGGAGCGAAAGCGUGGGGAGCGAACAGG
rnacentral:rRNA from 1 species